GAAGUUAAAGGCAUNGGCUCAACCAAUGUAUGCUUUNGAAACUGUUAGACUUGAGUGCAGAAGGGGAGAGUGGAAUUCCAUGUGUAGCGGUGAAAUGCGUAGAUAUAUGGAGGAACACCGGUGGCGAAAGCGGCUCUCUGGUCUGUCACUGACGCUGAGGCUCGAAAGCGUGGGUAGCGAACAGGAUUAGAUACCCUGGUAGUCCACGCCGUAAACGCUGAGUGCUAGGUGUUAGGUCCUUUCCGGGACUUAGUGCCGACGCUAACGCAUUAAGCACUCCGCCUGGGGAGUACGACCGCAAGGUUGAAACUCAAAGGAAUUGACGGGGGCCCGCACAAGCGGUGGAGCAUGUGGUUUAAUUCGAAGCAACGCGAAGAACCUUACCAGGUCUUGACAUCCCGAUGCCCGCUCUAGAGAUAGAGUUUUUCUUCGGAACAUCGGAGACAGGUGGUGCAUGGUUGUCGUCAGCUCGUGUCGUGAGAUGUUGGGUUAAGUCCCGCAACGAGCGCAACCCUUAUUGUUAGUUGCCAUCAUUAAGUUGGGCACUCUAGCGAGACUGCCGGUAAUAAACCGGAGGAAGGUGGGGAUGACGUCAAAUCAUCAUGCCCCUUAUGACCUGGGCUACACACGUGCUACAAUGGUUGGUACAACGAGUCGCAAGCCGGUGACGGCAAGCUAAUCUCUGAAAGCCAAUCUCAGUUCGGAUUGUAGGCUGCAACUCGCCUACAUGAAGUCGGAAUCGCUAGUAAUCGCGGAUCAGCACGCCGCGGUGAAUACGUUCCCGGGCCUUGUACACACCGCCCGUCACACCACGAGAGUUUGUAACACCCAAAGUCGGUGA
rnacentral:rRNA from 1 species